rnacentral:rRNA from 1 species
UAGUGAGUUUGAUCCUGGCUCAGAACGAACGCUGGCGGUCUGCUUAACACGUGCAAGUCGAACGGGCUCUUCGGAGCUAGUGGCGGACGGGUGAGUAACGCGUGAGAAUCUGCCCUCAGGUCGGGGAUAACAGUUCGAAAGAGCUGCUAAUACCGGAUGUGCCGCAAGGUAAAAGAUUUAUUGCCUGGGGAUGAGCUCGCGUCCGAUUAGCUAGUUGGAGAGGUAAAGGCUCACCAAGGCAUCGAUCAGUAGCUGGUCUGAGAGGGUGAUCCCCCACACUGGCACUGAGAUACGGGCCAGACUCCUACGGGGAGGCAGCAGUGGGGAAUUUUCCGCAAUGGGGCGAAAGCCUGACGGAGCAAGACCGCGUGAGGGAGAAGGCUCUUGGGGUUGUAAACCCUCUUUUGUCAGGGAAGAAGAAAGUGACGGUACCUGAAGAAUCAGCAUCGGCUAACUCCGUGCCAGCAGCCGCGGU